AAAUUAAUAAUAUCUUAUCUAUCAAUCUAUCUAUCUAUCUAUCUAUAAUAAUAAAGUAGAGUUUAUUCUCUCUACAAGCUGCCACAUCAUCAGAAAGCAUGGGACAUUUUUGGACACCCGUCAUCAUAUAUUUUCUUGUGUUCUUUUGAUUAUGAAACAAUGAAACGAAGAGUUUUUAAACUGGACUACUAUUCUCUUAUCUCUAGCUAGGCCCGAACUCCAUUUUUAUUAGGUUUAAGGCUUACCUUCGUUACCAAAGCUGCUCCGUUUAAUCGCCGUGACUCUUGGGAUAUCGCAACCUCCGACUAGCGCCUCUGUAACGUAAUCAGUUUAAGGCUAGAAACUGCAUUUAUCCAAGCAUUGACGUUUUUACCACUAUUCCCACUCUUUCGCAUAAACUCGGCCUCAUCAUGCACCGCGGAACCGUUCGAAGCUCUGGCUAUAUAUGUGUUCCCCACCUCCCCCCGCCUUACACAGCCUCUCACUGCAAAGAAAUCCCAAAGGUCAAUCACUGUUAAGAAACAACUCCACCAAUGGCGAAUUGCUCCUCGUGGAUGAGAAGUGAAUGCUUAUCCAACGAACUGUAAACUCCAACCGCCUCCACACUUUACGAGACCAUCUCAGUGAGGGUUCUGUUUACAUCUCAAGUGGCUUUGACUUCACCCGGAGCAAUAACGAUUUUCGUCUGUCUGAUGCCCAUGUCUCCAUUCGCUUCAAUGAUGGUACGUCUUUCACUGAAAGAAACAAUUCAGUUAAGUCAAUAAUAACUGAAAUAUUCCGGAACCAUACGAGGUAUUGUCAUUGUCAAAUACUUGACUAGAGUUUAAUGUAAGUUGUGUCCAUUUCUAACCUAUUCUUAAAUUGAUUAUGCUUUUUUUAGGUGAAUUGAUUUAGAUUGUAAGAUCUCAGUGUAGAUCCUUGGAUUGGUUUCAUUGAUCCAGGUUCUAUCAGGUUUACUUUUUAGUGGAUUGUCUUCCUAUGAUGAGAUAUGGAACUUUCAGUCAAUGAUGUUAAAUUUACUCCUGAAGAGUUGGCUGAGCUGAUCGCUGCAAUGAAUGUAACAUUAGCGGCAAGAGUGGUAAACAUGUCAGUAUGUACAUAGUUUUCGAUUUGGAUCAAUGCUAUUUAUUCAAUCUUUGCAGAUAUUUUUUGAGCUCUUGGCCAAAGGGGAAACUGUCCAAGGGAUGAUAAAAGCAAAAGACUUGGGUUAGGCAAGUACAAAGAAGAAACAUAUUUUAGUUUUCUAUGAGCCAUUUUGAAUGUUCAUUGGCAACAUAUUUCAAUGCUUCAGGCUUACCUGCACUAGGAUGGACUUUCGGAUAAAAAAAGUUAUGAAUGUUACUGGGAAACACGUAGGAAUCAGAGUGGAGUACUCAACUGCUGCCUGGUUAAACACGUAGCUAGGAAUAAAGCGUACAUAGCCGAUUCAGCAAAUUAUCUAACCAAACCAUUUGUUUCUAUGUACUUCGGUGUAGCCUAUUUUCUUUGGCUAUCCGACUAUGAAAGACGGGAGAGAAGUAAUUAGUUCAUUGUCCAAGCUUGUAUCAAAGGUCCUGACCACGUUGAUCUUGAGACAUCAUCAUGUCCACUUUGGCUCACGUUUGAGCAAGCACUGAGUUCUAUGAAGAACCGAAGAGGUAUCAACGUUGAUGACCAAACAACUUUGUUUUGGUUUUCAUUUUCUUUCAACUUUGUUUUGGUUUUCAUUUUCUUUCCCUUCUGAUAUUAUUUCAUCACCGAUAUAGAAAGCUGCUUUAUUCUAUGAUACCAUCGUCUAUACGUACAUACACUAUGUCUAAGAAUAAAGGGUUUAGCUUGGAUUCGUGUGUUUGUGACUCAUUAUUUAUUCAAAGCGCAAACCUACUCAAGUGUUAGAUCCUAAUACAAAUUUGGCUGCCAUCUCUACUUCUUUCUCCCAUUCAUUGAAUCAUUGGUUAAAGAAGCUGUUCAUUGGUUAGUGAAGUUUAAAGGGAGUAUUUUCGGUAGCAGUUUUGCUGUCCUAAACUCGGGUUUAGGAUUUGAUAUCUUGCAUAUUUCUAUUGUUUUAUCCAUUCAUCCAUGUGCAUUUUGAUCAUAUAGAUUAGGAUUUAGCCAUGUUUAGGUUGCAUUUUGCAUACAUGAGUCCUUAUCAGGUAUUGGAGUACCACAUGGAGUACUUGGAGGCAUUUGGAGCUCAAAAAGGAGUGUUUAGAGUGGUCAUUGGGCGAGCAAGGGAUGGGAGCGACCAGUCCGGAGCGACACCACCAAGUCGCUCUGAUCACCAGUCUGGAGCGACCAGUCCGGAGCGACACCACCAAGUCGCUCUGAUCACCAGUCUGGAGCGACCUCACUAGAGCGACAGGGAAGAGUCGCUCGCGUAUUGAUCACCCGGAGACAACGAAUCCGGAGCGACCUCUCGCAGCGACACAGCGAGGUCGCUCCCGAAUCCGGAGAGUGAAAGAUGAACACGGAUGAAAGCCUUAAAGAUCUUUUCUGAAGCUCAAAAUUGGUGGAGACACUGGAAAUUGAGUUAGCUUUCCAAUGGAAGUGGUUUCAAGUCAUUUGGAGCUGUAUUGGAUAAGUUAUAAUCGAUUUACUACAGGUGUAUCAACCCUUGCCGGGGACCACUGGAAAGUUGAUGGGAUUAACCAACUUCCCACUUUCUUCCACCCACCUUACCUUUGCACGAUUUUUCUUACUUUUAUGUAUAAUAUCUGCUUUCUUUUUAUCAUAAGAGUGGGCAAGAAACAUCAUUAUCCAACUUUGUAAUAAUUUAACUUGUCAAAACUCUCUCUCUUUGAAAUAUCAUUGUUCUUAGUGUU